GCUCUAGUGGGAUUCUUUUUUCUCAUCCAGCCGGUGCUGAUUGGUUGCUUCUCUCAAUGUUGAUGCAAUCAAUUUGGCUUGGCAAGAAAGAAUUACCAAAUCCUGACGCUUCUAAGGGAACAAUAUUUCGUCUUAAAAGUUGCUGUCUUCCUUGGUUGUUGGAUUUCGAUUUGAUUAUCUAUCAGACGAAUUGCAUGCUAUUCCAGCUGGGUACCUGUAUGUCCAACCGGUGCCAUUUAAAGUGAACUUAUUGCCCUGGAGGUCGUCCAUAUCGGAGGUAAAUAAACAAAUAAUGGAUAUCAUCAAGAAUUGAACCAUCCCUAGCGGAAGUGACAUGAGGAUCAUUGGUAUGCAAACAAGUUGGUCUCAUUAGUUCUCAGAAUUCAUAAAUUAAAAUUAUUCGCAAUGCAGAAAUCAAAAUGAUUGUCUGUACCCAAGACCAGAAACGAAAUGAACAUGGAUGUGAUUUGCAUUUCUAUCUAAAAUACAAAGUACAGGGUGAUCAAGAAAUAACAGAAAAUGUACGGAGCCCUGUAGCGUGUUAUGUACGGGACGAAAUAUAACAAA